ACGGAGACAACUAAAGCAAAGAACAGAGUCGUAGUUAAACUAGCAUUUCCCCCGAAUCUCAAGUCGAAAAACUCUCAGCCCUGUAUGAAAAGGCCACCUGGCGAAGUUUUCCCAAGUGAAAGAAAAAGCCUCAAAACCCGGCAGUGUCAGUCACUCUAGAAAGCUUUUACCUAAGGGUGGGUACCCCGGCAAAUUAAGAGCAGACAGAGAAGCCUGCUUCCAAAUUCUCCUCGAAAGCUGCUCCCUCUCCAAAGGGUACUAAACGCCUAAACGUGAGGCCACCCCUCCCCCGGCUUAAGUAUGCACAUUCCCCACCUGCUACCGGAGGGUGCAGAGGCGCUCCGACCCUUGGCCCCUAAGCCUGCAGCGACAGUAAGAGCGCUCCGACGCGGGACCAGCUGGGCUGAUCACCCCACUCUGCUCUGGCCCCCUCCUCUCGCUUGCCUUUCUCCUGGCUCGCUUCCUCCGGGCUACUCCAGCGGGGGCCGGACAGGGCUGCGGCCGCUCUCCGCGACGCCCUCACGCCCCACAUGCACACCUCGGCGGGCCCCCACACCUGCGGCGCCACCACAAAGUUCCUGCAAGCCGCGAGCGCUAGGAGCUAGGGAGAGGGGAAGGGAACAUCACAUCACACCCAACCAGGCCAGGAGAACAGACCACAGGCUUCUGCAACAUGGACUUUAGCUGCACACGUGAACACAGUAGGGACUUUUCCACUUAGGGCAGUGAGAACCUACAGAAGAGAGCAGAUAUCUGCCUUCCUGGGAGGCAGAGGAGAGGGGCAGAACUUAGAGAGGGAGAAAUAGCCUGGUAGGAAAACUUUGAACCUGGAAUUACUUGAAUGUUUAUUCAAAAGAAACUGAGAAACCUGAAAACAAAACAAAACAAAACAAAACAAAACAAAAAAACCCACCAGUUCUCUUAUUCCCAUCCUCCCUCAAAAACAAAAAACCAAAAAUGUCUGACAGCUGUGACUUGACGUGUGUGUAUGUGUGUGUUUCCCCCCAAUCCUCAGUGGGAUACAGGUCUGUAGGGGACAAAAUUAUCAGUUAUGGGGGAAAAAAAAGGAUCGCACCAAUUUCACCUAUUUGAGGUACAGUGUAUACAUUUACACCACCUCCUAGAUGAACUUUGUAAUCUUGGGUUAUCUACUUAACUUCUUCGAGCCUCAAUUUCCUCAUCUGCAAAAUGGGGAUAACACUACUUCAUAACAUCCAUGUUGUGUGUAUUAAAUGAAAUGAUGUGCGCAAAAGCACUGGGGAAAGAACACAACACAUAGUUGUGCCCAUUAAUGGCCACAUAAUAUUAUUACUUAGCUUCCAUAAGCUUCAUUUUCUACCUCUGUAAACUGGGGAUCGCAAUAUCCACCUGACAGCAUAGGUAUACAAAUAGUGUUAAUUUUUGUUUCCCCUCUGUUCCCUUCUUAAAAACAUACAGAGGCAGAGUCUAGAUAAGAGCCCAGGCUUUGUUACCAUGCUGCUCAAAGAAGAAUAAACUCACUUAACCGGAAGACUAAACA
rnacentral:lncRNA from 1 species